CCUACGGGAGGCAGCAGUGAGGAAUAUUGGUCAAUGGACGAGAGUCUGAACCAGCCAAGUAGCGUGAAGGAUGACUGCCCUAUGGGUUGUAAACUUCUUUUAUAUGGGAAUAAAAUGUUCCACGUGUGGGAUUUUGUAUGUACCAUAUGAAUAAGGAUCGGCUAACUCCGUGCCAGCAGCCGCGGUAAUACGGAGGAUCCGAACGUUAUCCGGAUUUAUUGGGUUUAAAGGGAUCGUAGGUGGAAUGUUAAGUCAGUUGUGAAAGUUUGCGGCGAAACCGUAAAAUUGCAGUUGAAACUGGCAGUCUUGAGUACAGUAGAGGUGGGCGGAAUUCGUGGUGUAGCGGUGAAAUGCUUAGAUAUCACGAAGAACUCCGAUUGCGAAGGCAGUUCACUGGACUGCAACUGACACUGAGGCUCGAAAGUGUGGGUAUCAAACAGGAUUAGAUACCCGGGUAGUC
rnacentral:rRNA from 1 species